rnacentral:lncRNA from 1 species
GACCGAAGUAGCCGGGCAGGCUGGUAAGAACAGACAAAGUGAGCUAUUUUGAAGGGUAGUAAACUUUCGUCUUAGACUAAACUUUUUUGCUUCGGGUGACAGCAACUGAGGGCAGAGGCAGCAGACAAGCAGGCGUUGACGAUCCAAGCAGGGGCCUAGUGUAUCCUGUUUCUUCUGUAGUUUGCUGACCUAAGCUGAUUCAAGGCGCUUUGUCUUGGAAAUGGAGCACCGUAGACAUGAUCUCCUUCAGCAGGAAGUGUCACACAUGGAUUAACACCCCUGACUCCAGGUCUGACUGUUUGGCGUCAAAUUCUGGCUGCUGUGAUUUUAGGCCUUGCCCACGAGAUACUUGAUAGUCUUCCAGCUUUUAUUUUAUCUGUCCACUUUGAUCAACUUUGAUCAGCAUCAGCAUGAUUUCAAAGUCUUUGUCAAGAAACAGACGCUGGCGUUGGAUGAGGCAUGGGAAAGAUGAAGAGAGUUGGCUGAGAAGGACGUGGUCCCCAGCCCUGUUCUUGAGGCUGGGUCUUUAGGGGGCCAGGAGGUGCGGAGCUGAACGCUUCCCGCCUGAGGCUUCAUCCGCCCGCAAGUGCAUCAGGACUCUGCUUGCAAAGCGACGAUCAUUUCCUGGGUUAUCAGUCUGGAAGCUGCAUCCACAAAGAACAGGAGGCUGUUGGUUUUUGCUCAUGCAUUCAUUCCUUCGUUCAUUUGGCAUUCCUUGGAGUGCAGCCAGCAGCCACGGGGCGCAGGUGCAGUCCGUUCUGGGCCACACCUGAGAAGAGCUGCAAUCCUUGCCUCUUGUUGGAGGCUUUAGGCCCCACCUCGUGUCCUCCUGACCUACCUUUCUGCCUCAGCCCUGCUCUGGCAGCCGGCAGUGCACAGGUGGGGCCUGGCAGCCCUGUGCCUACGCAGCCCCACGUAUGUCCUGCUUCUUGCCUCGGGUUUCCCUACUGCCCCUGCGUGGGACUGGCGUCACCAUUCUGGGGGACAGGUAGAUCUUGAAAUGAUGAAACAUUAAUUCCCUGGGGCCAACCUUGACCAGUGAGUGACAAGAGAUGGAGGACAAAGGACAAACACUUGCCACUUGUAUCUUCCUUCUCAGAGGCUUCUCUGUGGGUCUCCAGGGUCCCCAGCAGGAGGCAGCGAAUCCCAGCUGCCCACAGCCUAGUAAUCCAGUGUGGGUUCCCUUCUUCCCUGUUUUCCUCCUCCCAGCCCGGACCUGUUCCUGGAAUCACUUCCCAGAACUCACCACUAGGCCACAAGCUCUUGUUAUUUGAGGAAGGUAGCUAAGGCAGCCACAGGGAGCUCACAGUGUAGGGAGAUGGAGCCAGGCACCCAGGAACCAUCUCAACCCACGUGGUGAGGGCCACGAGGCAUUUCCCAGAGCCUGUGGCACAGAAGAAAGCCAGCCCGGUCCCCUGGGGCAGGUCAGGGGAAGGCUGAACUGGGUCUUGAAGAGGAAGUGGGGGAGGGAGGGACACUCUAGAGCGCAGGAGCAGUGAGUUCAAAGGCCAGGAAAUGUGAGGAGGCCGGGCUCCAUGGAGACUGGGCCCUAUUCUUCUGGUAGAUCUGCCCGGAUAUCCAGCGUGUUUGAUUGGACCUGGUUGAGAUGAGUUUGGAACUGAAGGCAUUUCCUGGCCAAAGUGCAAAGUGACCUUGGAGAGAAUUCAGUUUUCCUCAGAGGGGAUGAGGAACUCCCACCCUGGGAUCAAGCGAGGAAGAACUGCCAUCAAGUUUGUGUGUCCUCUACAGCCUCGCUAUUCCAGUGUGUGGGCCAGGACAGCAGCUUCCACACCACCUGGGAGCGUGUUGGAAAUGCAGAGUGUCAGGCCCCGCCCUGGACCUGUGGAACCAAACCCUGCAGUUUCGUAAGAGCCCAGGGUUUUGAAUGCACAUUAAAAUUUGGGAAGUCCUGUCCUAGGGCACUUUGCAGAAGAUGCUUUUGACCGGGCUUGGGGCAGGGCAGCAGAGUUCUGUAAGGGAAAGGGUCUUCGAUGAGAGAGGAGA